rnacentral:rRNA from 1 species
GGGGGUUAACCGAAGGGAAACUUUGCCUUAAUCCCCCAUACCACGUAUUGUUGCAUGACAUAGGUUUGAAAGUUCCGGCGAUACGGGUAAGGCUGGCGGACCAUUAGCUAGUUGGAGUGGUACCGGCACACCAAGGCGACGAUGUUUAGGGGUUCUGAGAGGAAGGUCCCCCACAUGGAAACUGAGACACGGUCCAAACUCCUACGGGAGGCAGCAGUGAGGAAUAUUGGUCAAUGGGCGAAAGCCUGAACCAGCCAUGCCGCGUGAAGGAAUAAGGCCCUAUGGGUCGUAAACUUCUUUUGUAUCGGAGCAAUAAGGGUCACGAGUGACCCGAUGAGAUUACGAUACGAAUAAGCAUCGGCUAACUCCGUGCCAGCAGCCGCGGUAAUACGGAGGAUGCAAGCGUUAUCCGGAUUUAUUGGGUUUAAAGGGUGCGUAGGCUGUUCUGCAAGUCAGCGGUGAAAGCCCGGGGCUCAACCCCGGAAAUGCCGUUGAUACUGCGGGGCUGGAAUACGGAUGCCGUGGGAGGAAUGAGUAGUGUAGCGGUGAAAUGCAUAGAUAUUACUCAGAACACCGAUUGCGAAGGCAUCUCACGAAUCCGUUAUUGACGCUGAGGCACGAAAGCGUGGGGAUCAAACAGGAUUAGAUACCCUGGUAGUCCACGCAGUAAACGAUGAUAACUAACCGUCGGCGAUACACAGUCGGGGCCAAGCGAAAGCGAUA